rnacentral:rRNA from 1 species
AGUCAAGUAAUUAAGUGCAUGUGGUGGAUGCCUUGGCAGUCAGAGGCGAUGAAAGACGUGAUAGCCUGCGAAAAGCUCCGGGGAGGCGGCAAAUAUCCUUUGAUCCGGAGAUGUCUGAAUGGGGGAACCCACCUACUUUAAGGUAGGUAUUGCAACAUGAAUACAUAGUGUUGCAAGGCGAACGAGGGGAAGUGAAACAUCUCAGUACCCUUAGGAAAAGAAAUCAAUUGAGAUUCCCUCAGUAGCGGCGAGCGAACGGGGAUCAGCCCAUUAAGUUAUGUGUGUUUUAGUGGAACGCUCUGGGAAGUGCGAACGUAGAGGGUGAUAUUCCCGUACACGAAAGGGCACACAUAAUGAUGACGAGUAGGGCGAGGCACGUGAAACCUUGUCUGAAUAUGGGGGGACCAUCCUCCAAGGCUAAAUACUCCUGACUGACCGAUAGUGAACCAGUACCGUGAGGGAAAGGCGAAAAGAACCCCUGUGAGGGGAGUGAAAUAGAUCCUGAAACCGCAUGCAUACAAGCAGUGGGAGCACCUUCGUGGUGUGACUGCGUACCUUUUGUAUAAUGGGUCAGCGACUUAUAUUCAGUAGCGAGGUUAACCGUAUAGGGGAGCCGUAGGGAAAUCGAGUCUUAAUAGGGCGUUUAGUUGCUGGGUAUAGACCCGAAACCAGGCGAUCUAUCCAUGAGCAGGUUGAAGGUUGGGUAACACUAACUGGAGGACCGAACCCACUGUCGUUGAAAAGCCAGGGGAUGACUUGUGGAUAGGGGUGAAAGGCUAAUCAAGCCUGGUGAUAGCUGGUUCUCCCCGAAAGCUAUUUAGGUAGCGCCUCGGACGAAUACCAUAGGGGGUAGAGCACUGUUUCGGCUAGGGGGUCAUCCCGACUUACCAAACCGAUGCAAACUCCGAAUACCUAUGAGUACUAUCCGGGAGACAGACUGCGGGUGCUAACGUCCGUAGUCAAGAGGAAAACAAUCCAGACCGCCAGCUAAGGCCCCAAAAUCAUAGUUAAGUGGGAAACGAUGUGGGAAGGCAUAGACAGCUAGGAGGUUGGCUUAGAAGCAGCCACCCUUUAAAGAAAGCGUAAUAGCUCACUAGUCGAGUCGGCCUGCGCGGAAGAUGUAACGGGGCUAAAACUAUGUGCCGAAGCUGCGGAUGUAUACUUUGUAUACGUGGUAGGGGAGCGUUCUGUAAGCCGAUGAAGGUGUGUUGAGAAGCAUGCUGGAGGUAUCAGAAGUGCGAAUGCUGACGUGAGUAACGACAAAACGGGUGAAAAACCCGUUCGCCGAAAGACCAAGGGUUCCAGUCCAACGUUAAUCGGGGCUGGGUGAGUCGACCCCUAAGGCGAGGCCGAAAGGCGUAGUCGAUGGGAAAAUGGUUAAUAUUCCAUUACUUCUGUGUAAUGCGAUGAGAGGACGGAGAAGGCUAAAUCAGCCUGGCGUUGGUUGUCCAGGUGAAAGGAUGUAGGCAUGUAUCUUAGGCAAAUCCGGGGUACUCUAUGCUGAGAUCUGAUAGCAAGCUGUACUUGUACAGCGAAGUGGUUGAUGCCAUGCUUCCAGGAAAAGUCUCUAAGCUUCAGUUACACAGGAAUCGUACCCGAAACCGACACAGGUGGUCAGGUCGAGUAGACCAAGGCGCUUGAGAGAACUCUGCUGAAGGAACUAGGCAAAAUGGUACCGUAACUUCGGGAGAAGGUACGCUGUUGUUGGUGAUGGAACUCGCUUCCUGAGCUGACGACAGCCGCAGAAACCAGGCCGCUGCAACUGUUUAUUAAAAACAUAGCACUCUGCAAACACGAAAGUGGACGUAUAGGGUGUGAUGCCUGCCCGGUGCUGGAAGGUUAAUUGAUGGGGUUAGCGUAAGCGAAGCUCUUGAUCGAAGCCCCAGUAAACGGCGGCCGUAACUAUAACGGUCCUAAGGUAGCGAAAUUCCUUGUCGGGUAAGUUCCGACCUGCACGAAUGGCAUAAUGAUGGCGGCGCUGUCUCCAGCAGAGGCUCAGUGAAAUCGAAAUCGCUGUGAAGAUGCAGUGUACCCGCGGCUAGACGGAAAGACCCCGUGAACCUUUACUGCAGCUUGACACUGAACUUUGACCUUACUUGUGUAGGAUAGGUGGGAGGCUUUGAAGCUGGAACGCUAGUUCCAGUGGAGCCGUCCUUGAAAUACCACCCUGGUAAUGUUGAGGUUCUAACUCUGUCCCGUGAUCCGGGACGAGGACCGUGUCUGGUGGGUAGUUUGACUGGGGCGGUCUCCUCCUAAAGAGUAACGGAGGAGUACGAAGGUGCGCUCAGCGUGGUCGGAAAUCACGCGUAGAGUAUAAAGGCAAAAGCGCGCUUAACUGCGAGACCCACAAGUCGAGCAGGUACGAAAGUAGGUCUUAGUGAUCCGGUGGUUCUGUAUGGAAGGGCCAUCGCUCAACGGAUAAAAGGUACUCUGGGGAUAACAGGCUGAUACCGCCCAAGAGUUCAUAUCGACGGCGGUGUUUGGCACCUCGAUGUCGGCUCAUCUCAUCCUGGGGCUGAAGCAGGUCCCAAGGGUAUGGCUGUUCGCCAUUUAAAGAGGUACGCGAGCUGGGUUUAGAACGUCGUGAGACAGUUCGGUCCCUAUCUACCGUGGGCGCUGGAAAUUUGAGAGGAUCUGCUCCUAGUACGAGAGGACCAGAGUGGACGAACCUCUGGUGUACCGGUUGUGACGCCAGUCGCAUCGCCGGGUAGCUAUGUUCGGAAGGGAUAACCGCUGAAAGCAUCUAAGCGGGAAGCCUACCUCAAGAUAAGAUUUCCCUAGGACUUUAUGUCCUCUAAAGAGCCGUUCGAGACUAGGACGUUGAUAGGUUGGAUGUGGAAGCAUAGUGAUAUGUGAAGCUGACCAAUACUAAUUGCUCGUGAGGCUUGACUAUACAACACCCA